CUCAGUAGCGGCGAGCGAAGAGGGAAGAGCCCAGCGCCGAAAUUCCCCCGUCCCGUCCGGCGGGCGGGAAAUUGUGGCGUAAUAGAAGACCGCUUUGCCAUGUCGAUCCGGGGGCCUGAGUCCUUCUGAUCGAGGCUCAGCCCGUGGAAGGUGUGAGGGCCGGUAACGGGCCCCCGUCGCGGCGGGGGCCGGUCUUUCGGAGUCGGGUUGUUGGGAAUGCAGGCCAAAGUGUGGGUUGUUAAACUCCAUCUCUAAGGGCUAAUACCGGCACCGAGACCGUAGUCGACAAGUACCGUAAAGGGAAAGUUGAAAAGAACUUUGAAAAGAGAGAGAGGUUCAAGAGGGGCGUUAAAACGUUGAGAGGGUAAACGGGUGGGGGUCCGCGCAAGUCUGCCCGGAGGAUUCAAACCGGCGGCGGGUUCAGGGUCGGCCGUUCCGGUGUGGUCGGAUCCCCUCGUGGGACCGAACCCCCGGUCGGGCUCGGCCCCCGCCGGGCGCAUUUCCUUCCGUCGGUGGUGCGCGCGACCGGCUCUGGUUCGGCUUGGAAGGGCUGGGGGGGAAGGGGGCUACCGGUUUCGGCCGUGAGCUUUACAGCGCCCACUGCUCCGUACUCGCCCCUCUCCCGGGGCCGAGGACUUAGUACCCCUGCGUCAUGCCCCCCUCCGGGGGGGACGGGGCCCCCUUCCCCCGGCGCGACUGUCACCGGGUCGGACUGUCCUCAAGUGCGCACCAACCGCGUUGCGUCGCCAGGGCGGGGAUCGGCUCACGUAAACUGGCCGCAAGGGGUCAGUGGCGAUGGUCGGAACCCACCCGACCCGUCUUGUAACACGGGACCAAGGAGUCUAACGCGCGCGCCAAGUCAGAAGGUCUUGAAACACGGACCAAGGAGUCUAACGCGCGCGCAAGUCAGAGGGUUUUCUCCGAACACACCCCCGUGGCGCAAUAAGUGAGGGCCGGCGCGCGCCGGCUGAGGUGGGAUCCCGGCCCCUCCGGGGGCCGGGGCGCACCCGGCCCGUCUCGCCGCUCUGUCGGGAGUGGAGCGUGAGCGCGUUCCGAUAAGGACCCGAAAGAUGGUGAACUAUGCCUGGGCAGGGCGAAGCCAGAGAAACUCUGGUUGAAGGUCCGUAGCCGGUCCUUGACGUGCAAAUCGGUGUCGUCCGACCUGGGUAUAGGGGGCGGAAAGACUAAUCGAACAUUCUAGUAGCUGGGUUUCUUCCGAAAAGUUUUCCCUCAGGAUAGCUAGCUCACGCGCGAGUUUUAUCGGGUAAAGCAAAUGAUUAGAGGCAUCGGGGGCGUAACGCCCUCGACCUAUUCUCAAACUUUAAAUAGGUAAGAGGGUGCGGCUGCUCCAUUGAGCCGCGCCGUNNNNACUUAUUCUUCAAACCUUUAAAUUGGGUAAGAACCCGGGUCGCUGGCUUGGAGCCCGGCGGGAUGCGAGCGCCCUAGGUGGGCCACUUUUGGGUAAGCAGAACUGGCGCUGCGGGAUGACCGGAACGCGGGGUUAAGGGGCGCCCGAUGCCGACGGCUCUCAUCAGAACCCCAAGGAAAAAGGUGUUGGUUCGAUAUAGACAGCAGGACGGUGGCCAUGGGAGGUCGGAAUCCGCUAAAGGAGUGUGUAACAACUCCCCUUGCCGAAUCAAGUACCCUGAAAAUGGAUGGCGCUCAAGCGUGUUACCCAUACCUCGCCGUCAGCGUUGAAGUGACGCGCUGACGAGUAGGCAGGCGUGGAGGUCAGUGAAGAAGCCUAGGCAGUAAUGCUGGGUGAAACGGCCUCUAGUGCAGAUCUUGGUGGUAGUAGCAAAUAUUCAAGUGAGAACCUUGAAGACUGAAGUGGAGAAAGGUUCCAUGGUAACAGCAGUUGGACAUGGGUUAGUCGAUCCUAAGAGAUAGGGAAGCUCCGUUUCAAAGUGUCUGCUUGUUCAGACCGCCUAUCGAAAGGGAAUCCGGUUAAGAUUCCGGAACCAGGAUGUGGAUCUUUAACGGCAACGUAAAUGAACUUGGAGACGCUGGCGAGGGCCCCGGGAAGAGUUAUCUUUUCUCCUUAACAGUCUACCACCCUGAAAUCGGUUUGUCCGGAGCUAGGGUUCAAUGACUGGUAGAGCUCGACACCUCUGUCGGGUCCGGUGCGUUCUCGACAGCCCUUGAAAAUCCAAGGGAAUGAAUAACUUUCACGCCUGGUCGUACUCAUAACCGCAGCAGGUCUCCAAGGUGAACAGCCUCUAGUUGAUAGAACAAUGUAGAUAAGGGAAGUCGGCAAAAUAGAUCCGUAACUUCGGGAAAAGGAUUGGCUCUAAGGGUUGGGCACGUCGGGCCUUGGCUGGAAGCCGCGGGACCCGGCUGGGACUGUUGGGGCAACCUGACGGACUCGGCUGGGACCUGCGUGUGGAUGGCCUUGGCUGCUUUCGGGCGUCCGGCGUGCGUUUAACAACCGACUUAGAACUGGUACGGACAAGGGGAAUCUGACUGUCUAAUUAAAACAUAGCAUUGCGAUGGCCAGAAAGUGGUGUUGANNNNNUCAAUGAAGCGCGGGUAAAACGGCGGGAGUAACUAUGACUCUCUCAAGGUAGCCAAAAUGCCCUCGUCAUCCUAAUUAGUGACGCGCAUGAAUGGAUGAACGAGAUUUCCCAACUGUCCCCCCCUACUAUCUAGCGAAACACGCCAAGGGAGAAGGGCUUGGCGGAACAGGGGGGAAGAAGGACCCUGGUUGAGCUUGACUCUUAGUCUGGCACUGUGAAGAAGACAUGAGAGGUUGUUGGAUAAGUGGGAGGCGCCCCGGCCCGCCGGUGAAAAUACCACUACUCUUAUCGUUUUUUCACUUACCCCGGUGAGGCGGGGGGCGAGCCCCGAGCGGGCUCUCGCUUCUGGCGUCAUGCCCCCGGCGCGAGCGGCGCGACCCGCUCCGGGGACAGUGGCAGGUGGGGGUUUUACUGGGGCGGUACACCUGUCAAACGGUAACGCAGGUGUCCUAAAGCCGAGCUCAAGGAAGGACAGGAACCCUCCUGUGGAGCAGGAGGGGCAAAAGCUCGCUUGAUCUUGAUUUUCAGUAUGAAUACAGACCGUGAAAGGGGGCCUCACGAUCCUCCUCUGAGACUUUUGGUUUUAAGCAGGAGGGUGUCCAGGAAAAGGUUAACCACAGGAUAACUGGCUUGUGGCGGCCAAGCGGUCAUAACGACGUCGCUCUUUUUGAUCCUUCGGUGUCGGCUCCUUCCUAUCAUUGUGAAGCAGAAAUUCACCAAGCGUUGGAUUGUUCAACCACUAAUAGGGGAACCUUGAGCGGGUUUAGACCGUCGUGAGACAGGUUAGUUUUAACCUUACUGAUGAUGUUUGUUGCAAUAGUAAUCCUGCUCAGUACGAGAGGAACCGCAGGUUCAGACUUUUGGGUGUAUGUGCUUGGCUGAGGAGCAAAUUGGUGCGGAAGCUACCAUCUGUGGGU
rnacentral:rRNA from 1 species